GCUCUCUUAGCUCAGUGGGAGAGCGCGCCACUCGUAUUACAAUGAUAUGGUGAGGUCACUAGUUCAAUCCUGGUAGGGAGCA